GUGGACGAACCUCUGGUGUUCCGGUUGUCACGCCAGUGGCACUGCCGGGUAGCUAAGCUUCAGGUAACUAGGAACCGUACCCCAAACCGACACAGGUGGUUGGGUAGAGAAUACCAAGGCGCUUGAGAGAACUCGGGUGAAGGAACUAGGCAAAAUGGCACCGUAACUUCGGGAGAAGGUGCGCCGGUGAGGGUGAAGGAUUUACUCCGUAAGCCCAUGCCGGUCGAAGAUACCAGGCCGCUGCGACUGUUUAUUAAAAACACAGCACUCUGCAAACACGAAAGUGGACGUAUAGGGUGUGACGCCUGCCCGGUGCCGGAAGGUUAAUUGAUGGGGUUAGCGCAAGCGAAGCUCUUGAUCGAAGCCCCGGUAAACGGCGGCCGUAACUAUAACGGUCCUAAGGUAGCGAAAUUCCUUGUCGGGUAAGUUCCGACCUGCACGAAUGGCGUAACGAUGGCGGCGCUGUCUCCACCCGAGACUCAGUGAAAUUGAAAUCGCUGUGAAGAUGCAGUGUAUCCGCGGCUAGACGGAAAGACCCCGUGAACCUUUACUGUAGCUUUGCACUGGACUUUGAGCCUGCUUGUGUAGGAUAGGUGGGAGGCUUUGAAGCGAGGACGCCAGUUCUCGUGGAGCCAUCCUUGAAAUACCACCCUGGCAUGUUUGAGGUUCUAACUCUGGUCCGUCAUCCGGAUCGAGGACAGUGUAUGGUGGGCAGUUUGACUGGGGCGGUCUCCUCCCAAAGAGUAACGGAGUAGUACGAAGGUGCGCUCAGACCGGUCGGAAAUCGGUCGCAGAGUAUAAAGGCAAAGCGCGCUUGACUGCGAGACAGACACGUCGAGCAGGUACGAAAGUAGGUCUUAGUGAUCCGGUGGUUCUGUAUGGAAGGGCCAUCGCUCAACGGAUAAAAGGUACUCCGGGGAUAACAGGCUGAUACCGCCCAAGAGUUCAUAUCGACGGCGGUGUUUGGCACCUCGAUGUCGGCUCAUCACAUCCUGGGGCUGAAGCCGGUCCCAAGGGUAUGGCUGUUCGCCAUUUAAAGUGGUACGCGAGCUGGGUUUAGAACGUCGUGAGACAGUUCGGUCCCUAUCUGCCGUGGACGUUGAGAUUUGAGAGGGGCUGCUCCUAGUACGAGAGGACCGGAGUGGACGAACCUCUGGUGUUCCGGUUGUCACGCCAGUGGCACUGCCGGGUAGCUA
rnacentral:rRNA from 1 species